rnacentral:tRNA from 1 species
UGGCUUAGUGGUUAAGAGCACUGACUGCUCUUCCAGAGGUCUGGGUUCAAUUCCCAG